CAGCAGCCGCGGUAAUUCGGAGGGUGCAAGCGUUAUCCGGAUUCACUGGGUUUAAAGGGUGCGUAGGUGGGCAGGUAAGUCAGUGGUGAAAUCUCCGGGCUUAACCCGGAAACUGCCAUUGAUACUAUCUGUCUUGAAUACCGUGGAGGUGAGCGGAGUAUGUCAUGUAGCGGUGAAAUGCUUAGAUAUGACAUAGAACACCAAUUGCGAAGGCAGCUCACUACGCGAAUAUUGACACUGAGGCACGAAAGCGUGGGGGUCAAACAGGAUUAGAUACCCUGGUAGUCCACGCCCUAAACGAUGGAUACUCGACAUACGCGAUACACUGUGUGUGUCUGAGCGAAAGCAUUAAGAAUCCCACCUGGGAAGUACGACCGCAAGGUUGAAACUCAAAGGAAUUGACG
rnacentral:rRNA from 1 species